rnacentral:rRNA from 1 species
AUUGAACGCUGGCGGCAGGCCUAACACAUGCAAGUCGAGCGGAGCGGCGGACGGGUGAGUAAUGCCUGGGAAUCUGCCUGGUAGUGGGGGAUAACGUCCGGAAACGGGCGCUAAUACCGCAUACUAUCAGAUGAGCCUAGGUCGGAUUAGCUAGUUGGUGGGGUAAAGGCCUACCAAGGCGACGAUCCGUAACUGGUCUGAGAGGAUGAUCAGUCACACUGGAAAUAGGACACGGUCCAGACUCCUACGGGAGGCAGCAGGGGGGAAGAUGGGACAAUUGGGGAAAGCCUGAUCCAGCCAUGCCGGGUGUGUGAAGAAAGUUUUCGGAUUUUAAAGCCCUUUAAGUUGGGAGGCGUUACCAACAGAAUUAGCACCGGCUAACUUCGGGCCAGCAGCCGCGGUAAUAC